GUCUUUUUAAAGAGAUAUUCCUGUAAAGCAUGCUUUCUUGUGGUUAUUGCCAUCUUUUCAUGUCACUGUUAAGGGAAAAUGCCUUCAGUCUUGCCUGGGAGUUUAUUUAAAGCACUUGCAGAUGGCUAGAAGCAGGUGCUGCAGCUGCUUUUAGUAUGGUGCUCUCCUGGAAGUGGAACAGAUUGUACUUUGUUGUGAGCCCCAAGUUCCCACAGACCUGCAGCUCCCUGACUAUUACAAGACUAGAGUUCAUCUGCUGACUCCAGCAUCCGCACAUUGUAAAGCAUAAAAAACACCGUUAAUUAAGUGCUGGGGAUCUCUACCAU
rnacentral:lncRNA from 1 species